GCAAGGUUGAUUGGUGUGUACAUGUGGAAAAUGUGUUUGACACAACAAGAUUUAGUGUGACGUGUGUGACCGUUUGUUUCAUACUGUCAGGGAUCCAUCUGCCAGGCCUUUCUCGGAGGCUCUCAUGCUGCCUCGCACUGCUCUAAUUGGCAGCACCUGUUCAUCAUUACCGUUCCCCUUUAAAAGGUCCCGGGUUCCACCUCACUCACUGUCGAUUCUACUUGAUGACUACAGUGAUCAACCAGAUUCCUGACCGCCAGCAUUCCCGCUGGUUCCUGCUCCGUGUUCCGAUCCUAAUGAUUAUACUCGAUUUACAGAUUACACUCAUGAUAACCAACCAUCUUUAGAGGCUGAUCAACAAUUCUGAGGGAUAAUGUCAUGACGUGGGUAAACAAAGACUCCUAUUUGAAUACUAAUACAGAGUAUUACUAAUUGAGUAUCAGCAAAUUCAAAAUGCCAUAAGAAAGAACAUAUAAAGAAGGUAAUUUAUUA